GUGUCGAUAGCUCAACGGUAGAGCGCUCAUGAUCAUGAGAGGUCGCAGGUUCGAAUCCUGUUCGAUGGC